GGGGCUAUAGCUCAGCUGGGAGAGCACGUCGCUGGCAGCGACGGGGUCAGCGGUUCGAUCCCGCUUAGCUCCACCA
rnacentral:tRNA from 1 species